CACCCUGUUGAUCACCUUACAAGGGUCAGUUUUGCGUUGUGUGAACUUCACCCCAAUGUUGUGUGCAGAAGGGGGCCGUGCACUCUGGUCCUUUAUUUUGAAAUUGCAGGAAGGAGGUGGAGAGAGUGUGGCGGGCCUUCCCAAGCCAACCCUCUGCGCUGUCCUUUCCACUUCCCCACCCAGCCCUGAGGUCCAGGACGUGGCCUCAGCUGAGUGCUGGCCAGCAGGCUCUCCAAGGAGAAAGUGCUCAGCAGUUACCUUGCCCCCUGUCACUGCCUCGUUUUGUUGGCACACUUUUUCCAGAGUGAAGAAGUACCAGUGAACUGGAACCUGUGCUGACGGAGUGUGGGGUUUGCAAAGACGUGUCUGGAAGACACACCGGGAAGCGCCGGUGUCCAGUGCCGGGCCUUCUGGAGGGAGCGUGGUGUGGUCUCCGACAUUCAGAGGCUCCUCCGUCGGCUGAGGCAGAGGAUGACGGGGCUCUGUGGUGACAGAUGGCAUGCUUACUGGAGCUCAGCGCCAUGUGCCACCCGUCCCAUGAGGGAUGGCCCUCCGGAGCGCAGCGUCCCCGUCACCCUGCCUGAGGUGGACAGUUAGCCCGUGUGGAGGCUGCAGGACAAGGCGUGGCAGGCAGGAAACGCAGGCCCUAGGCCACCUCGCUGUGCCUACGUUCUUCCUCCUGAGAGCCCCACAGCCACUCGCUGCCCACCAUGGCGUCCAUGGGCCUCCGUGGCCUGGCUGUUUGCAGGGAUGGCACCCCCGCUGGAAUGGGGCUCCACCCAGACCCCACGGACCCAGAUGCAGGAGGCUGGGAUGGUUCCAGCCCAGCUCCUCCAGAAACCUGCCCAGUCCUUCCGCUUGCUGUGCUGCCAGGGAGGAGGGAGGCUCUUGGGCCUGCUGGCAGAGCCCUGCCCUUUGCACUGUGCACAUACACACCCCGCGGUAGAUGCAAAGCCCACGGUGGCUUUCCUGCUGGACCCCAGCCCUCUCGCCUGCCUGCGACUCGUCAGCCUCUCUUCUCUCCCUCCAAUUUGCUUUUACAACCAGGCCUUGUUUUCUCCUUCCGUUUGCAUGCUGUAGACAAAGUGUGCACAGACCAGUUUGCCUGAACGUUCCAUCCUUCCCACUUAUUCUGAGCCUUCGUCUGCAGAUGGCUUUCCACGUCACGGAUGCUAGCUGACUUACAGAGCUCCACGUGGCCUUCUAAAAUGCAGGCCAUCUGUGUGAGACUCUAGCCUGAUCAACGGUAGAACUGGCAGACAGAGAGGUGGCCCCCACUGACUCUGCCCAGAACCUGCAGUCCCUGCCAGCCCCGGUUUCCUCAUCCGUGAGGUGGUCCGUCAUGCUCAAAUCGCUCACGACUUCAGGCACGACUGAGUGAGUAAGUCCGUUUUCUGAGCGUUUGCUCACAAACCGGUCACAGAGCCCUGCUCCAGACGCUCAGUGACCACAGCUGCACCAGCAGAGCAGGGCGGAGAGGGCUCAUUGCAUAGCUACCACACAAACCAUGCAGCACGCUCAUUGUGCAGGGAGAAAACGGAUCCAUUCCGCGGUACAGUCCCCUCCACUGGAAGGAAAGUAAUUGCUCGGGAACUGAACUCCACCCUCUGCCAGCUCCCUGGUAACCAUGUCCCGCUUGCCUCGGAUGCUGCUGCUCGUAACAGAAACACCUUUUCUGAUCCAUGCUGGAGAUAAAUCCUAAACUCAGUAAAGCUAACUCGGCCUGUCUGCCCUUCUAACAGGGCGCAGACUCACAGGCUCCGCUGAGAAAGCCAGGUGGGCCCAGCCCAGCAGCCCAGGCUGCUCCGGCUGGUCAUCUAACUUUGCUGUAGUAACCGGAAGUACUUCCAAGUUGAAGGAUAGUGGAAAUCGAGCCCUGGGGACAGCUGCUCCCAUAGCCUGGUACUGAAGCAAGUCUGUGUCAUGCACACAGGAAACACUGUCUGUCUGGAGAUCCACCCCAACUCUGCCGAAGCAAGGGCUACCGGCAAGCCCCUCCCCAGGGGACAGUGCUGCUCUGCAGGCCACCACAGGGCAGUGUCAGGGCAAGUGCUCUCACAUGUGUCUGGGAUAUUGGAAAAGAAACUCAUUGAGUAGCCGACAACUCUGCACCGAGGGAGUUUUCAGUCCACCACCGAGGGGAGGGGGCUUCUCAACAGGUGGGGGCUUCUGGCUGGAGAGUGGGAAGCGGGAAUCAGGGCAGCUGCGCGUUCUCGCGCGGGCGGGGUUCUGUCCUUCCUGGAUUCUCCGUGGUUUUCCACCGAGAGCCAGCCAGGGUUGUGCAAGGUUUCUUUCCCCAGCUUGGCUCGAGGAAGCUGUGGCCAGAGGCAGCCUGAGUGCCCCAUCUUGUCCCGUCUUGUCCCACGCUGACCUGGCCCAGCCCGCAGGGACAGGGCAGGGUCGUCUCUUUUGGGAGCAGCUCCGAGCUCAUAGGCUCUCCAAGUAACAGGGUCAAGUGCCCCAGCGCUGGGACCAGUGCCUGGCUUCAGGCAUGAACCUCCUCAUGGAGGCUGUUCAUCUGCUGAGCAGCCGACUGCACUUGACCAGAGGGGACAUUGGAAGCCAGGAUGGGCUCAAUCCUGCGGGUUCUGGUUGGGGCUCCUGGAGGAGCCGAGCAGCGUGCAGUGCAGGCCUGCGUCGCAGACCCUGCAGGUCGAUCCCACUCUACCUAACCACGGACUCAUGCCGCUGGGCCUCCUCAGGCUCCCCAUCUGUGGUCAGAAGAGGUGGACUUCUCCCGGUCUCCAAGGCGAGUCAGUUCUGAGGUCGGAUUGGGUACUGCAGAUGGACUCCCCUAAAGAGCACCAGGCACGGUCAGCCAACGCAAGAGCUACGGAGGAGCAGCACAGUCCCGGUUCCUCAUGGACAAACGCCCCAGCGUGCUUAACGUGGACUGUUGUGGGGCGCUGGGGUGGGAACUGAAGGUGGAGGCCGACGUCUAGAGGCCUAGGACCUCACUCCUACCAUGUCCCCCUUGCCCCGACCACACCCAACACACCGUAGGCACAAACCCAGCCAGGAAGACCCUCUACACAAAGAGCCGUGCCCCGUGAGCCUGCAGGUGACUCGGCCCCAGGCCAGCUGUCUGGCAGCAGAGGCCCUGCAGGGAGUCCCAGAGCACAGGCUGAUGGCGCGUGGUCUGGGCGCUUUCAACUUUUCCGCAUACUUUCCCGUCUGGACUUCUCUCAUUUCCUUGAAUCAGACCUACAAUAUUAUCCCCUGUGGACCAACCGGCUGGUCCUUCAAUAGCGGUGCUGUCCCGUCGUCCACGCUUCCAGAGCACACACUGCCCCAGACUCGCCGAGCCUCCCCAAGCAGGCCCCUCUGAGCUGUGUGGUUUGCUUCUCUCACGCUGUGACCGCUGGGGCCACAAGAUGCCUGUCCCUCCAACCAAACACACACACUGAAUAGCUAGAGGCGUUUCCCAAGUCCUCCAAGUCAGCGCGGAGGAGCCCCUGUCAGCACAGCCCGGAGCUCGCUGGGAGUGCGGGUGGACACGGGAGAGGCCCGCCCCGACAGCUGUGGGCCGGCGGGACCCCUUUCCGCCUGGCCCAGCGCACUCCAAAUGCAAGCUGCUGGAAAGAUCCUUUUCUCAUUGGCCCUUUGCAAAAUACAACGUCUGGAAUAAAAGUCGGAGACAGCACAGGCACAUCCCCACAGAGACUCCUUCCAAAACCUGGAUGCGUCACAGGACAAGGGACGCUGGACCUCCAAUGGGCCGCCCAGGGGGCUGGAUGGAAGGUGAAAAUCGCAGGUGUCCUUUCUGUCCCAGUGGUCUUCUCGGCCUCCAUCUGGAGAGCAGAGACAGGGAGACGUGGGGUUGAAUAACAGCAUUCAGCAGGUGGCCCGUACAGACCUGCUCC